GACAGAGGUCCCGAGCGUUAGGCGGAAUCACUGGGCUUAAAGCGUGUGUAGGCGGAUGCCUAAGUACCUUGUGAAAUCCCACGGCUCACCCGUGGAACUGCUUGGUAUACUGGGUGUCUUGAGCCACUUAGGGGCUACCGGAACAAAUGGUGGAGCGGUGAAAUGCGUAGAUAUCAUUUGGAACGCCAAUGGUGAAAACAGGUAGCUGGGAGAGUGCUGACGCUGAGACACGAAAGCCAGGGGAGCAAACGGG
rnacentral:rRNA from 1 species